AAUUUUGUAGUAACUGGUAAUUCGAUUUU
rnacentral:piRNA from 1 species